rnacentral:rRNA from 1 species
AUUGAACGCUGGCGGCAUGCCUUACACAUGCAAGUCGAACGGCAGCACGGGAGCUUGCUCCUGGUGGCGAGUGGCGAACGGGUGAGUAAUACAUCGGAACGUACCCAGUAGUGGGGGAUAACGCACCGAAAGGUGCGCUAAUACCGCAUACGACCUAUGGGUGAAAGCGGGGGACCGUAAGGCCUCGCGCUAUUGGAGCGGCCGAUGUCUGAUUAGCUAGUUGGCGGGGUAAAGGAGCACCAAGGCGACGAUCAGUAGCUGGUCUGCGAGGACGAUCCGCCACACUGGGAAUGAGACACGGCCCAGACACCUGCGGGAGGCAGCAGUGGGGAAUUUUGGACAAUGGGGGCAAUCCUGAUCCAGCAAUGCCGCGUGUGCGACGAAGGCCUUAGGGUUGUAAAGCACUUAUGUCAGGGAAGAAAUCGUUUGGGCUAAUACCCCGGAAGGAUGACGGUACCUGAAGAAUAAGCACCGGCUAACUACGUGCGAGCCGCCGCAGUAA